rnacentral:rRNA from 1 species
GUGCAGCAGGCGCGAAACUUCACAAUGUGCGAAAGCACGAUGAGGGAAUCCCAAGUGCUUGCUCGUAAGAGUAAGCUGUUUCUCUGUCUAAAACGCAGAGAGAGUAAGGGCUGGGUAAGACGGGUGCCAGCCGCCGCGGUAAUACCUGCAGCUCGAGUGGUGGCCGCUAUUAUUGGGCCUAAAACGUCCGUAGCCGGUUUAUUAAAUGCCUGGGUAAAUCGGACCGCUUAACGGUUCGAAUUCCGGGUAGACUGAUAAACUUGAGACCGGGAGAAGCUAGAGGUACUCCUGGGGUAGAGGUGAGAUUCUGUAAUCCUAGGGGGACCACCAGUGGCGAAGGCGUCUAGCUAGAACGGGUCUGACGGUGAGGGACGAAGCCCUGGGGCGCAAACGGGAUUAGAUACCCCUGUAGU